AAAGGCAGGAUAAUUACUUGCAGGCUAGAGCUUGGCGCUGCUCCAGAAGUUAAGAGGCGGCAGCUGUGCCCUCUCCCGUCGGGAUCUGCCACAGAUGCUCCGGGCACCUUCAGAUCUCGCAGGUCAUAAGGGCAUUAAUGUGGAGCUGCUGACAGUGGGGCCCGAACUAGCUGGAGUCUCUCUUCCCAGGCUUCCGGGAAAUGAAAGCGGCAACCUCAAAGGUGACACGGGCUGCCUUCAGAUGCCAAAGAGCUCCAUUAAGCAUCUUUGUCUCCCUUUUCUGGUGGUACGGAUGCCCACAGCUUCUGUAAUGCCAUGGCGGUGCUUCUGGUUAGUUAUUUUGGCAGGGACUGGGGGCACAUGGCAAGCGACCUUGGCCUUUUAAUCAAUCGACAGCCUUCCUUCAUUAGUCAGAGAGGGAGGCAUCUGUGAGGGUCCUGUGAUUGCCGAGAAACUGGGUACCAAGGCUGCCGGGUUCUGUCUUCAGUUGCGGUCCUAGAAGCCACAAGGCAUAAAGAAAACCUGCUAAUGAAUGUGGGCGUGCUCAACAGGAGCACCCAGAAGCCUGAGUGGGGUUGAGGGAGGUGAGUCAUCCAUGUCUCCAUUCAGGUUUAGGAUCUCUCCUCUCCUCAUCAUGUACUAACUUCUUCCACCUACAAGACCCAGCUAGGAUGUGAAUUCAACUGAUAUAAUGUGGUACCUCACAGGCUCCCAUUCUGAGUUUGCUCUUUUGCUACCUCAGUCCAAUGGUGACCAGAAGGAGUUGUCUUCACCUAGUCCUGGGUAAUUCCCGGCAUCCCCAGCCUUCACAAGCCCAUGUUUCUCAGCUCUGCACUGGUGGCAUUUUAUUAUGUGUCUGUUCUAUGCAUUUCCAGAUGCUUAACAGUUCCUUGUUUUUAUUCAUUAGAUUUCAGUUUUCUCUCUCUGCCUCCCAGCCAGUUUUCUCUCUCUGCCUCUCUGGUGGCAGCCAGAAAGUCUGAGGACAUUGCCAUACCUCAUCUACAGACAAAGUUGCCCCUGGCUGAGACCACUGCACUGGCUCAAGCAGGAAGGACUAUGUGAACCUGAAUGUCUUCUCCUGGGCUGUCAAGUUCUGUUAUUAACAAAGGCUACUCCACAGAGCUGGUGUUCCUCAGGGUAUUUACGCAGCCCAAGGUAGUCGGAUUCAUCUCAGGGUCAGCGAUGUUGUCUUGGGACGUUAGAGGGAUGCCGUUGCCUCCACAGUCUCUAAGGUACCUGUGGUGAUCCUCACUGAGCAGCAAGACCAUGGCUCCACCAACACACAGCACUCUGACAAAAAAUGGUAAUUGGAAUGAGUAUUUCUUUCUUCUGAAACAGCAAACAAUCCUGAUUUAUUUAAAAAUAGUUGUUAAUCUGAAAUUUAAUUUCAUCUAUUUAAAUACAAGGGUUUUGAUAAUUAGGUAGCAUCUUCUAUAAUGCAUAUUCAUUAUAGUAAUUAUGGAAUCUCUAGUACAAAUCUGCUUUAAUUAUCUAUUUUUGCUCUACUUAAAAGGCAAGCUUCAAAGUAAUUUGUAGUCACAUUCUAACAAAUGAUUGUAUAAUGAAGAAGGCGAAUGGUAGCAUCCUAUGGAGUCAGCAUAUUCAAGAAAGCAAAGGCCGAUGACAGAAGUCACCAGGGAGGAGUUGGGACAUGAACAAAAGGAUGAUUAGAAAAGACUUCAUAAAGGGAAAACCCUGAAACACUGACUUUUGAGAGUUUAUUUCCUCAGUCAUUCAAGUGCUGCCAGUGCAAACAGCACGAGUGACUGAAGGACCACAGCAGUGAGGGGCCAGGAGCAGGCAGACAGUGAGGCUUGGAGUGACAGGAAGGGGCCAAGGCUGGGAGGCAGUGGGGGUAGAAGCAACAGGAGGCACUGGCAGUGGUUCACCCUGGUGGGGGACCUGGAAAGAGGGAGCAGAACUCAGUCUGGAGUAUGAUGCCACUGUAACUGCCAAGGGACAGCUGGGGGCUCUGUACAGCAUGGGGGGCUCUGAGACCGGAAAGACAGGAGGUUUAAUGAUAGAGCCACAUGGCUGGGAUCAUCCAGGUGGCAGCAGGCUAAGAGGGACGCAAAGGCAGUGAGCAGGGACAUCACCUGUAAAGAAGGACCAUGGGAGAGUCAGGAGACACACUCUAGAGAAAACUGGGACAAUAGUGGUGCCAUGCAGGCCAAGGGAACGUGGCUCUAAGUGUCAAAAGCCACAGGACCACCAAGUGGCCAAGGUAGAUGCCACCAGUGAGCCUGGGGACAGAAGGCCCAGGAGCAAGGAGAUAAUGAGCUGGGACAGCAGGGUCUUGUUUCCACUCCUGAUUCCCUUCCCACCAGUGCUCCCUGGCGUUCACUCAGAAGAAGA